AUUGAACGCUGGCGGCAUGCCUUACACAUGCAAGUCCAACGGUACAGUAGCAAUACUCGAGAGUGGCGAACGGGUGAGUAAUAUAUCGGAACGUGCCCAGUCGUGGGGGAUAACGUAGAGAAAUUUACGCUAAUACCGCAUACGAUCUAAGGAUGAAAGCGGGGGACUCGCAAGGGCCUCGCGCGAUUGGAGCGGCUGAUAUCAGAUUAGGUUGUUGGUGAGGUAAAAGCUCACCAAGCCGACGAUCUGUAGCUGGUUUGAGAGAACGACCAGCCACACUGGGACUGAGACACGGCCCAGACUCCUACGGGAGGCAGCAGUGGGGAAUUUUGGACAAUGGGCGAAAGCCUGAUCCAGCAAUGCCGCGUGCAGGAAGAAGGCCUUCGGGUUGUAAACUGCUUUUGUACGGAACGAAAAGGCUCUUUCUAAUAAAGGGGGCCCAUGACGGUACCGUAAGAAUAAGCACCGGCUAACUACGUGCCAGCAGCCGCGGUAAUACGUAGGGUGCGAGCGUUAAUCGGAAUUACUGGGCGUAAAGCGUGCGCAGGCGGUUCUAUAAGACAGAUGUGAAAUCCCCGGGCUCAACCUGGGAAUGGCAUUUGUGACUGUAGAGCUAGAGUACGGUAGACGGGGAUGGAAUUUCCGCGUGUAGCCAGUGAAAUUGCGUAGAUAUGCGGGAGGAACACCGAAUGACGAAGGGCCAAUCCCCCUGGAACCUGUUACUGACGCUCAUGCACGGAAAGCCGUGG
rnacentral:rRNA from 1 species